rnacentral:rRNA from 1 species
AAUGAUGCAUAGCCGAGUUGAGAGACUGAUCGGCCACAUUGGGACUGAGACACGGCCCAAACUCCUACGGGAGGCUGCAGUAGGGAAUCUUCCACAAUGGGCGAAAGCCUGAUGGAGCAACGCCGCGUGUGUGAUGAAGGCUUUCGGGUCGUAAAGCACUGUUGUAUGGGAAGAACAGCUAGAAUAGGAAAUGAUUUUAGUUUGACGGUACCAUACCAGAAAGGGACGGCUAAAUACGUGCCAGCAGCCGCGGUAAUACGUAUGUCCCGAGCGUUAUCCGGAUUUAUUGGGCGUAAAGCGAGCGCAGACGGUUUAUUAAGUCUGAUGUGAAAGCCCGGAGCUCAACUCCGGAAUGGCAUUGGAAACUGGUUAACUUGAGUGCAGUAGAGGUAAGUGGAACUCCAUGUGUAGCGGUGGAAUGCGUAGAUAUAUGGAAGAACACCAGUGGCGAAGGCGGCUUACUGGACUGCAACUGACGUUGAGGCUCGAAAGUGUGGGUAGCAAACAGGAUUAGAUACCCUGGUAGUCCACACCGUAAACGAUGAACACUAGGUGUUAGGAGGUUUCCGCCUCUUAGUGCCGAAGCUAACGCAUUAAGUGUUCCGCCUGGGGAGUACGACCGCAAGGUUGAAACUCAAAGGAAUUGACGGGGACCCGCACAAGCGGUGGAGCAUGUGGUUUAAUUCGAAGCAACGCGAAGAACCUUACCAGGUCUUGACAUCCUUUGAAGCUUUUAGAGAUAGAAGUGUUCUCUUCGGAGACAAAGUGACAGGUGGUGCAUGGUCGUCGUCAGCUCGUGUCGUGAGAUGUUGGGUUAAGUCCCGCAACGAGCGCAACCCUUAUUGUUAGUUGCCAGCAUUCAGAUGGGCACUCUAGCGAGACUGCCGGUGACAAACCGGAGGAAGGCGGGGACGACGUCAGAUCAUCAUGCCCCUUAUGACCUGGGCUACACACGUGCUACAAUGGCGUAUACAACGAGUUGCCAACCCGCGAGGGUGAGCUAAUCUCUUAAAGUACGUCUCAGUUCGGAUUGUAGUCUGCAACUCGACUACAUGAAGUCGGAAUCGCUAGUAAUCGCGGAUCAGCACGCCGCGGUGAAUACGUUCCCGGGUCUUGUACA